GUGCUCACUUCAGCAGUAUAUAUACUAAAAUUAGACUAUACAGAGAUUAACAUGGCCCCUGUGCAAGGAUGACACGCAAAUUUGUGAAGUGUUCUAUAUUUUU